rnacentral:rRNA from 1 species
AUGCCGCCGAAGAAGAGAAAUCGGGAGGAAGGGGAGCACCAAGACCUAGACAAAGAAGCCAAAGGUACGUCCGGAGGGGGCUUCGAUGCCCGCGCGGUGUCCUUCCUGUUCGGCCAUGCCACUGACUCGGAGCCGGCGCCGGAGCCCGCUUGCCCUCCAUCCCCCCCCUCCUCCUCCUCCUCCGACGAGAACAAGUCGGACGACGACGACGAUUUCAGCGCGGAGGGCUUGAGGGCGAGGGACGCUGCGCUCAGCGUGUCCAGUUCCGUCGUGUCCAUCGCCGCCUCCACUGAUGGGGAUGCUCCGAACACCUUCGCCUGCACGGGCACGGUGGUCGCUCAUGAGGCCUCUUCCACCUGGAUCAUAACCUCUGCAGCUCUCAUCAGGAAGCCCGAAAGCGACACCGAGGUGCACGAACCUCACGCCGUCAAGAUCGAGGUGCUCCUGAAUAACAAGAAGGUUGUCAAGGGGCGGUUGCUCAUGUACGACUUGCUGUAUAAUGUCGCCAUUGUUUCCAUUGCGCGAGCCAAUCUCCCCGCGGUCAUACUCGACGACCUCCCGGACACUUAUUUCUUGACGCCUGGUCCGGUGGUUGCUGUUGCCAGGAAAUUUGAGACUGGGAGGCUGCAGAUGAAAUGCGGGGAAACGCUCCGUGCAGUUUGCGAGUUAGAUUGCGAUGAACUCAUGCUCAGCACUUGCCAAAUUGAGCAGAAUUUUUUCAUUGGGGGCCUUCUGGUGGAUUUAGAGAAAAGGAUUCUUGGGAUGAAUUUCAUAGACGAGAGAACCACCCCCUUCUUGCCAGUUCAGAUUGUUGGGAGAUGCCUUAGACACUUCAAAGCAUAUGGGGAAAUCAAGCAACCUUGGCUUGGAAUAAGGGGUCGUUCCCUUCACUUGAUGGAAUCAGCCAGACUGGAGGAAAUAUGCCAUAACUUCCCUAAGCCACCUUCUGGAGUAUUUGUGGACAUGAUUCCUGAAGCAACAUCUGCAAAUUGUGGGGGCGUCGAGGUUGGUGAUAUCCUUAAUCAACUUGAUGGAGUUGUUUUGCACUCUACAGCACAGCUUACUUCGAUGCUCCUGGACAAAAUGGAGGUUGUGAUGCAUGAGCGCAGACCGGUCAUCCUCAAGGCACUCAUCCAGAGACCCAAUGACGGGGCAACGGUUGCUGCAGAGUUGAUAGUAGCCGAGCGUCCCCCCGGCGAAUGUCAUACGUUAUUGAACAACAGGUGGAGACUGCCCCCGCCAACAGUGUAUUAUUGGGGCCACCCGGAUAUAUGUGAUUGGGUUGAUGACGACUCUGACUGA